GUGGCUCUUUGAGUUGCUUGCGCGGUAACGCAUUCGAACUCGGUAACGUCGCUUAGAGACCGAGCUAGAGUUUUCUUCUCUAGUUAAGGAACGGACUCCCUGGAAUCGGUUCAUCCGGAGAUAGGGACGUUGUUUCCGUAAAGCACCGCGGUUUCUGUGGUGUCUCGUGCUCUCUGAACGGCCCUUGAAAAACCGAGGGAGGCUAUUAAUCUAUGCUGCAUCGUACCGAUAUCCGCAUCAGGUCCUCAAGGUGAACAGCCUCUAGUCGAUAGAAUAAUGUAGGUAAGGGAAGUCGGCAAAUUAGAUCCGUAACUUCGGGAAAAGGAUUGGCUCCAGUGAUCGGGUCGGUUGGCCUGUUCACUGAUACUUGUAUGGUUUCGUUCGUGGCUGGCUGAUGCUAACGCUGAUGUCGGACUAGUGAUGAGACAGUCUUGUGGACGUUUAUAGGUGUGUGCUUUGCUUUCGAGCUUAGUAUCCUGACCGGCCAUUAAAACGGUCGAACCGGAACUGGUACGGACUCGGGGAAUCCGACUGUCUAAUUAAAACAGAGGAGACAGAUGGUCCUUGCGGACGUUUACUGUCUCUGAUUUCUGCCCAGUGCUCUGAAUGUUAAAUCGUAGUAAUUCGAGUAAGCGCGGGUAAACGGCGGGAGUAACUAUGACUCUCUUAAGGUAGCCAAAUGCCUCGUCAUCUAAUUAGUGACGCGCAUGAAUGGAUUAACGAGAUUCCCACUGUCCCUAACUACUAUCUAGCGAAACCACAGCCAAGGGAACGGGCUUGGUAAAAAUAGCGGGGAAAGAAGACCCUGUUGAGCUUGACUCUAGUUUGACAUUGUGAAGAGUCAUGAGAGGUGUAGCAUAGGUGGGAGACUUAUGUCGCCAAUGAAAUACCACCACUUUCAUCGAUUCUUUACUUAUUCGGUAAUGUGAGGAUUGGGCCAUCGGCUCUUUCUUCUUUGUGUUAAGUGAAGUCACCUGGUGACAUUACGACUCCCGUCGAAGACAAUGUCAGGCGGGGAGUUUGACUGGGGCGGUACAUCUGUCAAAUCGUAACGCAGGUGUCCUAAGGCUAGCUCAGAGAGGACGGAAACCUCUCGUAGAGCAAAAGGGCAAAAGCUCGCUUGAUCUUGACUUUCAGUACGAGUACAGACCGCGAAAGCGUGCCUAUCGAUCCUUUUAUCCAGAUAGUUUCUGGUA
rnacentral:ncRNA from 1 species